rnacentral:lncRNA from 1 species
CACACCAUGAAAUUGGUUGAGAUGGAGGGUUCCCACACAAUGCAGAAUGACUAUGACUCCCUUGAUGUUCAUGUUGGACAGUGCUUCAGUGUGCUUGUUACUGCCAACCAGGAACCAAGGGAUUACCAUGUGGUGGCCUCUACCCGUUUUACCAGACGUGAGGUUACAGCAACCGGCAUCAUCCGUUACAAGAAUGGCAAGGGAGCUGCCUCAUCCGAGUUGCCACCACCACCUGUUGGUUGGGCUUGGUCACUCAAUCAAUUCCGUACCUUCCGUUGGAACUUGACUUCUAACGCUGCUAGGCCUAACCCUCAGGGCUCCUACAAAUAUGGUUCCAUUAACAUUACCCGCACCAUCAAGCUUGCCAACACUGCACAAAGAGUAGAUGGCAAGCUCCGAUAUNNNNNNNNNNNNNNNNNNNNNNNNNNNNNNNNNNNNNNNNNNNNNNNNNNNNNNNNNNNNNNNNNNNNNNNNNNNNNNNNNNNNNNNNNNNNNNNNNNNNCUCUUAAUGGAGUCUCCUAUGUCGAACCAACCACUCCACUAAAACUUGCAGAAUACUACGGCGUAGCCGACAAGGUUUUCAAGUAUGAUACCAUUCCCGAUGAGCCACCGAGUGACAACACUAAGGUAACUUUGGCACCUAUUGUCCUCAACAUGACACACAGAAACUUUGUGGAAAUCAUCUUCGAGAAUCACGAGACCGCCAUUCAGUCUUACCACUUGUCUGGCUACUCAUUCUUUGCCGUGGGGUAAGUAUAGCUUCUAACAUAACAAAUACAUGUGGUGAUUUUAUUGCCUGAGUUGAAGUAAUAAGUUGUAUAAUGAUUUGUUGCAGCAUGGACAUUGGGAAAUGGAGCCCUGAGAAGAGGAUGAACUACAAUCUUCUCGACGCCGUGAGCAGACACACCAUACAGGUAUUCCCCAACUCCUGGUCAGCAAUCCUAUUGACAUUCGACAACUGCGGGAUGUGGAACCUGAGGUCGGAGAUAUGGGACAGGCAUUACCUUGGGCAACAGCUUUAUGCUAGUGUUAUUUCCCCUAACCGAUCCCUGAAGGAUGAGUACAACUUGCCGGAAGGUGUAUUGACUUGCGGCAUCGUGCAAGGCAUGCCAAGGCCUCCACCUUUCAGCAGUUAAUUUAAAUAAGCUUAUAAAUCUGUAUCCAAUUCUGGUGUAUGGGGAGAGAGAGGGUGAGAAAAGCUUGAGUUCUGUACAAUAUGUAAUGAAAUAAAAGCUUUUGGACCACUUUAUUGUUACUAAUUUUCGUGUGUUGCCCUCGAAUAUACACACAUUUAAGUUAUUUUCAAUAUAAAAAAACAGAUAUUUUCAAAAUUGUACAAUAUUUUAAAGAUGAAUGAUUUAAGCAUGGUUUAUACUACUAAUUAUUUUGAUAUUUUCAAAAUUGAUAUAAAUAAAUAAUUAAGUUAUAUUAACAAAGAAAUUUAAAAUAAAUAAUCUAUAUAUUUUUUGUUGAUAUACUUCUGCUUGGAACAUUGAUCUUCAUCAAUAUAAAUAAAUCAUUCUACUAUGGCGGUUCAACUUUUUGUUUCUUUUUAUUCAUUUAUUUUUGUAAAUUUCAAAUUUAGAUAUGUCAAAUUGUAAACAUUUAUUUGUCAAAAAGGCUCUUUAAAAUAUGAAAAAAAAAUUAAGUCAUUGUAUACAUUUUGUACUUAAUUAAGUCCCUAUCAUUAAUUAAAAUAAUCAAUUAAGCCACGUAAAAUAAAUUGAUGGAGCAAUAGAUAGAGAUAGUAAUAGCUUCUAGAUUAAUCUAUUAUUUUUCCUAUAAAAAAUAUUAAAAAAUUAAAAAAAAUUAUCAAAAAUAUAAAUAUUAUUAAAUAUUAAAAAAAUAAAAUUGGUAUAAACUUAUAAAAUUUUAAAAAAUUCUAAAAUUAAUAAAAUAUAUUUAAAAUAUUUAAAAUUUUAUAAAAAACAUUACAACUCUAUAAAAAUAAUAAAAAAUAUUAGAAGUAUUAAAUUUGAUAUAAAAUAAUAAUAACUUGAUUUGGGUUGGAUUAGUCAGUUGGACCGGUUAGACCAAAAUCGACAAGGAUAUCGAUCUAGAGAAAGCCAUUAGGCCGGUUGACAUUGGAACCGGAUGGUUGAACCGAUUCUUUAUCUUUUUAAUAUAUAUAUUUUAUUUCUUAAUGUUUUAUUUAAUUAAACUGGACGAAUUAGUCGAAAUGGUAAACCGAUGGCUUAAUUUAAAUUUUUUUGAAAAAGAUAUUAGAUUAAACUAUAAGCUACCACGUCUCAUCAUCUAAUUGGCCUACCAAUUUAUUUUAACAGUCAAUGUAAUCAAUUUCGAACAUCGUUAAAUAUUUUAAUUAAUGCCAAGAAUUUAAUUGGGUGCGAAUUUAAUAUAUGGAUAGACCUUUUGACAUAUAAACCUAUUGAAAAUAAGGUUAUUAUAUUUUAUCUCCCAAUAAUUACAUGGAAUAUUUGAAAUUCAAGCACUCCCUAGAUGACUUUGCUUGGAGACUAGCAUAAUUUAAGGCACUCUUCGCACGAAGAUGGACAAAUUGUGGAUGAUUAAGAAAUUGAAUAGUCUGCUAUGUUUGAAUAUGCUACUAGCUCGUUCUAAUAAUUGAAUUAUUUGAACAAAGUUGAGAAACAAGACCGGAACGUCAAGAAUCCAAGGACGAAUAAUGAAUUUGGUUUGUGAUCUCGUGUCAUAACUCAUUAAGUAGCUAAGUUUAAUGAAUUGAUAUUGAUGAAUGUUCUCAUAAAAGGCAUGUUAUAGCUUAGUUGACUUUGAUGGCAAUAAUGGCUGUGAUGAUUUUCAUAUGGGUAUAUAUUUUAGUAUUCCGGUGUAAUGAGCGUUAGGACACAUCACUUACUUUAAUUCUUUGUUGGGUUAUUAGGUACUUCAAUAUACUAAUUUGCGUAAUCACCAUUGAAUUUGAAAUCGAUUAAUAAGUGUAUCAUGUGUCUAAGAUACAGAAGUGGUAUAUGAUUGAAAUUGAUUAAUAGGGACUAAAAUAUAAGUAUUAUGUGACUUAUGCUUAAGUUAUAACAGAUUUUGUAAGUCUUAGGAUGAUUUGAGAAAUAAGAUGACAUGUUUAAAUGGUAUAAAUUGUCUUUUUAUAUCCUAAUGUCCGAUUUUCGUAUAUCUCAAAAUUUUCCCGCUCGAAUUAAUUCAGCUUUAUAACUAUACUCUAAGGCCUCAAACUAUCAAUAAAACACCAUUUUUGUCCAAAGUUCUCAACAAUCUCAUUCAAGCUCUCAAGAACUCAUCAAUGGCUAUAUUAUCUAUGUUUAAUUAAGUCUUGUUUCUACACAUCCCACUUCAUUUCUAGCAUGUUUUCCACAAAGUUGAAGCUUAACACUAGAUAUUCAUGGAUUCAAGUUUUCAUUCUCUAAGUUCUCUAAUGCUUAGGCUAUGUUCAUCAAAGUAUCACAAACUAAGAUUUUAACAAAUUCAAGUGAAAAGUUCACCUUCCUUAGUAAUUUGAUGGACGAUAAUGGAAGAGUAACCUAAAGAAUUUCUUUCUUUCUUUUGCUUCUCUCACCAAUUGAACACACACACACACACACACACACACACACACACACAUAUAUACAUAAUUAAUCUAAUUACUCAUUAAUCUAAUGGCUGCAAUUGAGCUUAAAGAAUGGUCAAUAGAAAUGAAUGGCAAGGAUCAACGCAAGCCACUAACUAAGAAUAAGCACUUAGGUUCUUGGCAUAAUUACCACUGACAAAUUUGUUUAAUUCUUAAAUCAAUUCUCUUUAUUUUAUUCACCUCACAAUUAGUCUUUGAUCAAUAAUUACUGUUCUUUCAAUCUAGUCCUUGUACUUAAUAAUUUAUCUAAUUUAAUCCCUUAAUAAUUCUAAUUUCUAAUUUCAUGUUCAUCUUGUAAAUGUCUCGAUUUAAGAUUUUUGGACUAGUUCGGCUUCGAGAAUUCAGCCCCGAAAUUGAAAUUUCUGACCCCAGUGAAAAUCAGAAUGUUAUAUGCAAACUGCUCGACAUCCUGCAAGGUCUCCAUAAUGGAUUUCUUCACAUUUGUGUCAUUGUUGCUCGUGUCUGAUCCACCCCUGGUAUUCACUUCAACUGUAACAAUGGUCAUAUUCGUUGCCAUGAGUGAUGUGGAAAAAAUUGUUAAUAUUUCGUUAAGUAAUUUGAAAUGGAUCAUGACUAAUUUGGUGGAAAGAGUUAAUAAAAUAAUUUCUCCACAUUUUGAGUGUUCAAAAUUUAAUUUAUUAUAAAAUCUCUUGUAAAUAAUGUUACAAAUGAAUUUGUCAUGUAUGCGUAAACUCUUGCAAAAAAAAAAAAACUAAUUAUAUUUUUUUUCAAAAUAUCUUUUUGUGUCAUAAUUUAAGUUUUCAUAUAAGAAGGUUGGUUUCACUUUAAUACAAUUUCUAUUUUUAAAAAUUACAAUAGUUUAUCUAUAUUUAUAAUAAAAGAAUAACUAAAAAGGUAACAGAAAAAAACUAAAGCAUUUUUCAUAGAAGCAACUACUUUCCUAAAGAAAAGGUUAGCUAUCCAUAGAGUGAAUAUUCAAAUCCUUGUGAUAACAGAAAACAAUGAUUCAAAAUUGUAAAACCAAAAAUGGAUUAGUGCUAAAAGCAAGGAAAUAAAUGAAUGGAUGAGCUUCUUCUAAGGGAUUAAGAUGGAAGAAUGGAAGAGGGGAUUGUGUGGUAUAAAAGGAGAGGUAUGCAUGCAAUUCAAAAUCAACUCAAGCAAAUCAUCUCCCUCUUCCUCUAGAGGGGAUAAACAGUAUAAUAAAUUACAUUGGAGACGUGGUCGGAAAAAAAGGGUAAAGAGAUGGCUCGAUUAACAUUAAUAUCGAUGUUAGUUCUCUUGGCAGGAUCAAUGCUUAUGGUUCAGGGCGGAGAUCCCACCCUUUUUUUCGAAUGGAACGUCACCUAUGGAACCAUUGCUCCCUUGGGAGUGCCAGUAAGGGGUAUUCUUAUUAACGGGCAAUUCCCGGGACCAAAUCUUAACUCUACCACCAACAACAAUAUCGUGGUCAAUGUGUUCAAUAACCUUGAUGAGCCAUUCCUUGUAACAUGGUAAGCGACUACCAAGAGUAGUUUCUUUUUUACAUUAAUAUGAUUAUGCUAGUGAAGAGUCGAGCUAAUUAUCUGUGGAAAUGGGAUUUGUUGCAGGGACGGCGUGCAACAUAGGAAGAACUCUUGGCAAGAUGGUGUUCUGGGAACCAACUGUCCUAUCCCCCCUGGGAAGAAUUACACCUAUAAAUUCCAGGUGAAGGAUCAGAUUGGCAGCUACAUGUACUAUCCGGUGACGGCUAUGCAUAAGGCGGUUGGUGGUUUCGGUGGCCUCCAUGUUAACAGCCGUCUACUCAUCCCUGUUCCCUACGCCGACCCGGCUGAUGACUAUACUCUCUUAGUGGGAGACUUUUUCAACAAGGGACACACCGGCCUCAAGAAGAUUCUUGAUAGCGGUCGCAACCUUGGGAGAUGUGACGGUGUCCACCUUAAUGGGAAAGUUGCGAAAGGUGAUGGGAAGGAUGAACCUCUGUUUACGAUGGAGGCAGGCAAAACGUACAAGUACAGGAUUUGCAAUACGGGUAUCAAGACAUCUCUGAACGUCAGGUUCCAGGGCCACACCAUGAAAUUGGUUGAGAUGGAGGGUUCCCACACAAUGCAGAAUGACUAUGACUCCCUUGAUGUGCAUGUUGGACAGUGCUUCAGUGUGCUUGUUACUGCCAACCAGGAACCAAGGGAUUACUAUGUGGUGGCCUCUACCCGUUUUACCAGACGUGAGGUUACAGCAACCGGCAUCAUCCGUUACAAGAAUGGCAAGGGAGCUGCCUCAUCCGAGUUGCCACCGCCACCUGUUGGUUGGGCUUGGUCACUCAAUCAAUUCCGUACCUUCCGUUGGAACUUGACUUCUAACGCUGCUAGGCCUAACCCUCAGGGCUCCUACAAAUAUGGUUCCAUUAACAUUACCCGCACCAUCAAGCUUGCCAACACUGCACAAAGAGUAGAUGGCAAGCUCCGAUAUGCUCUUAAUGGAGCCUCCUAUGUCGAACCAACCACUCCACUAAAACUUGCAGAAUACUACGGCGUAGCCGACAAGGUUUUCAAGUAUGAUACCAUUCCCGAUGUGCCACCAAGUGACAACACUAAGGUAACUUUGGCACCUAUUGUCCUCAACAUGACACACAGAAACUUUGUGGAAAUCAUCUUCGAGAAUCACGAGACCGCCAUUCAGUCUUACCACUUGUCUGGCUACUCAUUCUUUGCCGUGGGGUAAGUAUAGCUUCUAACGUAACAAAUACAUGUGGUGAUUUUAUUGCCUGAGUUGAAGUAAUAAGUUGUAUAAUGAUUUGUUGCAGCAUGGACAUUGGGAAAUGGAGCCCUGAGAAGAGGAUGAACUACAAUCUUCUCGACGCCGUGAGCAGACACACCAUACAGGUAUUCCCCAACUCCUGGUCAGCAAUCCUAUUGACAUUCGACAACUGCGGGAUGUGGAACCUGAGGUCGGAGAUAUGGGACAGGCAUUACCUUGGGCAACAGCUUUAUGCUAGUGUUAUUUCCCCUAACCGAUCCCUCAAGGAUGAGUACAACUUGCCGGAAGGUGUAUUGACUUGCGGCAUCGUGCAAGGCAUGCCAAGGCCUCCACCUUUCAGCAGUUAAUUUAAAUAAGCUUAUAAAUCUGUAACCAAUUCUGGUGUAUGGGGAGAGAGAGGGUGAGAAAAGCUUGAGUUCCAAAUGUAUUUAAUGAAAUAAAAUAUUUUGUUUAUAUUCAAGUCAUGCGCAAGCUUUCAACAAUUUCAUUGCUGCCAUGUUUUAAUUCUAAUUACUUUGUUCAUUAUUAAAAUCAUAUAAUGCAUUAAUAAGAAAAACCAUCACAAAAUAGUGUGCAUCACUAAAACAAUUAAUGAAUAGACCAACUUUCUGUUUUCUUCUUCCCUUUUCUAUUUUCUGCUUUCUGUUUCGGUUCAUAACAGAACCAGGAGACGAAACAUCCCUCAGUCCGCUCCUGCAAGGUAAGAUUCUCCCAAGAAAUUUACUACUGUUCCCUCUUCCAAAGAAGAAGAUACUCUACUGCAAAAGAAAGAGCAAACAAUUUUGUCAACCGUCUGCACCAACAGAUAUUUGCUGUGUACAAAGAAGCACUUCAUUGAGUAGAAUGACUUGCUACAAUUUGUUGCUUUUGUAAAACCAUAUGCCGAGGAGGGGGUUUAUGGGUUUUAUGUCAAUCUUCUCAAGUCUGUCAAUAAGUCUUCGAGCAAACUCUUCCACAAAGCUUAUAUUCGAGGAAGAUGGUAUAAUUUUUGGCCCUACACAAAUUUGGGAGCUAUUGCUUCACUCAUGCUUGAUAGAUGUCAAGCUAGAUGAAUUUUAUGGUACAAUGGUCAAAACCAUCACCAAUGGAGUUCACCUUACCUUGCCCUAAGCAACUGAGCCACAAGCUUCUACUCUAGAGCCCACUUAUGCUGGCCUGUUUGCUAUUGCAACCAGAAACUGGAUUCCUAAUAGCCAAAGGAAUACAGUUACAAAGAAGAUUGUUACUCUGCUUAGGAAGAUUUGUGAUGUGAUUCAACUUGACUUGGGAGAGCUUAUUUUUCAGGAAAUCAUCAAACAUACUAAUUUUGUUUACCCCAAGUUAUGUCUUUCUUUCCAUUCACUUAAUUUUUCAGAUUCUUUAUAAUCAAAAUCCAGAAAUUGUAUUGGCUACUGAAAAAUGUGAAAGGAAGCCUAUAGAGUUGAAGUAUUCAUACAAGUGGCUUGAAGGGAAACACCAGGUUGCACUCCCUGAAGCUGUUCCUGAUGUUGUGGCUCAGCCUGUUGGAGUUGGCACAAAGGAAGACAUUUCAUCUCCAACAUCUUGAUGCUGAGAUUGCCUCCCAAGAAAAAGGUCAUUCAACAACUUCAAGCCAAUGUUCGACGAGUCAAAGCAUUGUGGAAUGAUCUCCUGGCCAAGCUGCUUCAGUUGGGGUUUGGAAAAUCUCUUGAACUAAAAGGGGGAGUGGUAUAAAGGACUUGGCACUACAGGUGACACUACUGCAAUUAGUAUCAUGUUUUUUCUUUUCUUAGUAUGAUGAUUUUUCUGUGCCAGAAUCACCAUAAACUUAGGGUUUCAGUUGUCAUGUGGGGAUGAAAUAAUUUACCCCCACAAUAUUGGGAUUCCAAUUCUCAUCAAAGAAUUUGCAACCCUCAGUUUCAGAAGCUAUCUGCUAAAUGAAAUUUGUUUUAUUUUAAUGUUUUUGGGUUGUAAUUUUGAAGACUCUAACUUGAAUUAUGUUUAUUUUAAUUGAUAUUUUGAGAACCUUUAUCCCAUCUAUGAUAUAAAUUCUAGUGCUUUGGUUAUAAAGGCUGUUCUCACUACUUAUGCAUUAAUGAUUAUUUUGCUUGAUUAUGUUUGUAUUUGAAGUAUGAUGGAUUAAGGGUGAGCUAAAAUUGAAAUUUUUUUAUUUAGAUAUUUUAAGAUUUUAAAUUAAUAAAAAUGAAAUUGCACGUUGGCUCCUUUAAAAUGAUAAAAAUUUGAUUUAACCUUAUAAAAAUUAUAAAGACAUAGGCUAUUAAAAUUGUGAAAUUGUAAUUUUGCUAUCGUAAAAAAUUACAAUUUAAUUUCGGUCCCCUAAACAAAUUUUCUGGCUUUGCCUUUGAUUUCUUGGGAGAGCAUUUGUUAUCGUGAACUUACCAAUACUAAGCAAAUUUUCUAUUUAAUAUUUAUUUUUGUAUGAUUAAUAUUUAACUAUCAUAAUUUCAAUUCUGAUUAAAUUUUAGAUAUUUAACUAUAUUUUUUAAUGUAAAAAUUUUGAACCAUUAAAUAUAUAUAUUAAUAAAGAUGGUAUUUAGAUUAAUUCGAAAUUUUACUUGCAUGAUAAAUAAAAUAAUAAAUUCAACAGUUAAAAACAUUAGUUAACUUUUAUUUGUUAAUAAUUCGUUAAUUUAUGUAAGUUUUUACAUAUUUAUCUAUUUGGAUUGUGAUUGUAUUAUUUUUUCAUUAUAUCCUAUUUUAAUAUUUUUUAUAUUAUUUACGAAAAUAACUACAUUUAAAAAAAUAAAAUAAAUUUCACACACACAUUAAAUAGAAAAAAUGAAAGAAUUUAUUAUUGAAUGACAAAUAGUACGCUGAAUGAUGAUUACAUCAAGAAAAUUAAUUUAUUGGAAAAGUCAGCAUUAGUCACAACAAAGGCCGUUUUAUGUGCAUUUGAAGCAGAACUGGUUCCAGGUUUAUAUAAGCUUUAAACUAGGUGUAAGCUGGUGGUGGCCUUGGCAUGCUUUCCACAACACCGCAAACUAGUGCACUCUCAGGCAUGUUGUAUUCGUCCCUGAGUGAUUUGUUAGGGGAAACAACACUAACAUAAAGCUGUUGCCCAAGGUAACGCCUGUCCCAUACCUCUGACCUGAUGUUCCACAUUCCACAGUUGUCGAAUGACAAUAGGAUAGCUGCCCAGGACUUGGGGAAAACCUGUAUGGUGUGUCUGCUCACGGCAUCAAGAAGAUUGUAGUUCUUCCUCUUCUCAGGGCUCCAUUGCCCAGUCUCGACACUGCAACAAAUGAUUAUAGAAAUUUAGUUAAACGGAAAGUAAUGACUAUAUACUAGAAGAAUUUGAAGACCAAAUACUUACGCCACAGCAAAGAAGGCAUAGCCACACAGGUGAUAAGACUGGAUGGCUGUUUCGCGAUUCUCGAAGAUGAUUUCCAUAAAGUUUCUGUGUGUCAAAUUGAGGACAACAGGUUCCAUGGUUACUUUAGUGAUCUCAGCUGGUGGGUCAUCAGAAAUGGUAUCAUACUUGAAAACCUUGUCAGCUACGCCGUAGUAUUCUGCAAGUUUUAGUGGAGUGGUUGGUUCGACAUAGGAGGCUCCAUUAAUAGCAUAUCGAAGCUUGCCAUCUACUUUUUGAGCAGUGUUGGCCAGCUUGAUGGUACGGGUAAUGUUAACGGAACCAUAUUUGUAGGAGCCCUGAGGGUUAGGCCUAGCAGCGCUGGCAGUCAAGUUCCAACGGAAGGUACGGAAUUGAUUGAGUGACCAAGCCCAACCAACUGGUGGUGGUGGCAACUUAGGUGAGGGUGCGCCCUUGCCAUUGGUGUAACGGAUGACACCAGUUGCUGUAACCUCGCGUUUGGUAAAACGGGUAGAGGCCACAACAAAGUAAUCCUUUGGUUCUUGGUCGGCUGUAACAAGCACAGCGAAGCACUGUCCAACAUGAACAUCAAGGGAUUCAUAGUCAUUUUGCACUGUGUGGGAACCUUCCAUCUCAACCAAUUUCAUGGUGUGGCCUUGGAACCUGACGUUCAGAGAUGUCUUGAUACCCGCAUUGCAAAUCCUAUACUUGUAGGUUUUGCCUGCUUCCAUGGUGAAGAGAGGUUCAUCGCUACCAUCACCUUUAGCAACUUUUCCAUUAAUGUGGACACCAUCACAUCUACCAAGGUUGCGACCGCUCUCAAGAAUUUUCUUGAGGGUGGUGUGUCCCUUGUUGAAAAAAUCUCCUGCUAUGAUAGUAUAGUCAUCAGCUGGAUCAGCAUAGGGGACAGGAAUGAGUAAACGACUGUUAAUACGAAGGCCACCGAAACCACCAACCGCCUUAUGCAUAGCCGUCACUGGAUAAUACAUGAAGCUGCCAAUUUGGUCCUUCACCUGGAAUUUAUAGGUGUAAUUCGUCCCGGGGGGGAUAGGACAGUUGGUUCCAAGCACACCAUCUUGCCAAGGAUUCUUCCUAUGCUGCACGCCACUCCUGCAACAAAAUUCAUUUCCAUAUAUAUAUAUAUAUAUAUAUAAUUAAGCUCAACUCUUCACUAAUAUAAUCAAGGGAAAAAAAAGUACUCUUGUUUACCAUGUCAAAAGGAAUGGCUCAUCAAGGUUGUUAAACACAUUGACUAUAACAUUGUUGUUGGUGGUAGAGUUCAUAUUUGGCCCAGGGAAUUGCCCGUUAAUAAGAAUACCUUUUACGGGAACACCCAAAGGAGAUAUAGUGCCAUAAGUGACCUUCCACUCGAAACUAAUGGUGGGAUCUCCACCUUGAACCAUAAGCAGUGAUCCUACCCAGAGAAAAAACACCACUAUUAUCGUCAAUGGAGCCAUUUUAUUGGCUUCAAAGUCUCUUAUGUAAUUUUAUGAAUUAAGGCUGUUUAUCCACUCUUAGAGGAAGAAGAUUUGUUUGAGAUGAUUUGAGUUGCAUGUUGGCUUACCCUUUUAUACAACACAACUCCUUCUAAUACAAUCGUUCUUCACCAUUCAAUUUUUCUCUUGAAAUCCUUAAAUUGCGCACAUCCAUUUGUUUAUUUUCUUUUAGUAUAUACUAUUUUUAACAUUAACCAAUUUGAUUUUACCGUGAUUCUCUUUUGUUCUAAAAUAAUAUUUGCACAUUAAUUCAUUGUGUGGACGGCUAAUAUUUUAUGACUAAUGCAUCUUCAUCAAAAUAUUUAAUCCUUACCAUAAUUAUUUAUUUAAUUAUAUGGACGAUAUAAACGUGAAGAAAACACAAAUAAGAAUUUAACAUGAAACCAAAUCGACAUUAGAGAAAAAAAACAUAUAUAAGAAAUAUUCUAAAUUUAUAAAUAUAUAUAUGAUGCUCAAUUUUUUUCCUAUAUUUUUAACAUUAAAAUUCUAGUUUUAUAUAGAUUUUGAUAUACAUUAAUUUAUAAAUGUACAUAUUACUAUUAUUUUUAUAUUCACAUCAUGCUCAAAUUCUCUUUCCUAUAUUUUUAUUUGUGAAAUUUUGGUUUUCUAUUCUUUUAUAUGUUGGGCACAUGAGAAACUUGGGUUUGUGCUCAGUGUUUUGGGUUGAAGCUUGGAUAAAAGGGCUUAAAUAUUGCAUAGAACAAGGGGUUUCACAGAGUGGGAGUUGAAAACAACAAUGCUGAGCUUCUUUCUUUACUUGAUGACCAAAAUGGAGAGUCAAGUUCUUGUAAGACACAUCCAAAUUCUUUUCAAUCACAAAUUGAAACUUACAUAAAUAUAGAGGCAGAUUGUUUGGGAAAAAUGAGCCAAAGUAGAUUUUAUUUCAUAUAAAUACCAAUGAUCAGGCCUUUCAGAGGCACACUGGUUGAGUUGAGAUAUCCUUUUAUAUGCUAUAAGCCUCGAUUGCUCGUUUUCCUUUUCUGUCUCGUACCUCCUCUCUUUAUCGUUGUGCCCAUGAACACUCUUUGUUUCCCUACUACGAUUGCACAGCUCAUUACUACCUUCUGAACGUUCCACAACCAUAUUUGACACAGUUACCCCCAUUUUCAUUUUCUUGGACUAAUGAGCAAAAUCUAACACCCUUUAUGUUACUUGAAAUUUCAUCGUCACUUUUAUCCAAAUGCCUACUAGCCCUCCUGCACCGAUGAUCAUCACAACCUGACAAAGGUCAAACCUCACUAGAGGUAAAGCCACCAUCACAGCCAAGGACAUUGGACUCACAUUAUCUAGAUUUGCAAUUAAUUCGUUGACGUCCUCUUCACUUGAUGAACGAAUCACUUCAACUUCUAACACUUUCAGAUAUUUGGAUUUGCAGAACAACACUUACCUUACUCUGUAGUCUCUGAUCCAUGUAUUUAACUAAGCUCUUUUUGCUGGUUUCUUUGAGGACACUAUUCUAAGAGUAAUUGACGUGCUAAGUGAAGAUAGUAGGAACUUUUAGCUCCUACGCUCUAAUGUUUUUUUUUUUUUUUUUGCAUUAUGGCUAGUUGAGCCUUCCUUUGUACAAAAAGAACUAGUUUAAUCUAAUAGUUGAAUCUCAAAUUUAAAUAGUUGUUAUUCACUUUUCAAGCCACCACGAACAUAUUAUGGAAAUUAGAGGGACAGAAACAAGGUAGCUGAUUCAUUGUCCAAACUACAAGUUUCAGAAGAUUUUGGAAUAAAGUGCUCACUCGACCCCUCAGAGAAAUCGAUACAUUAUUGUUAUUAGACAAAUUGGGGUCAUGCCAUCCCAAUGGUAUUUUGAUGUAGAACAGUAAUGCCUAUUUGAAUUUCCCUUGUCUUUGAACUCUAGAAUUUUCUUGUAUUUAAUUUAGUCAUUGAUUUAUGUGGAUAGGUAUUAAAAUUAAAUUUUGAUGAUUGGCAUUCUAAUUAGUAAAAAUUCUCUUUGGGAUCGAUAUUUUAUACCACUUGUAACGAUACAUAUACUUGCGUGUGAUAUUCGAUUAAGUUCAGAGCACCUUUUGUUCAAAAUAAUGGUGUUUUACGAAUAACUAUGCUUAGAACAAUUUCUAUUUAGUAGAAUUGUAUUUUUUCGAAAGAGUCAUUAUUCAGAAUAAGUUCUACCAAACGGAGCAUUACCAUAGAACAACUUUUGUUUGAAACAAGUAAGAAUAACCCUUUUCCAUGAACAACUCUCGUUCAAGAACAUCCAUUGUCUUGCAUUCUAAGAGAUGUUCUGCGGUAAAGGUUUCACAAGAUACCGCUUCACCAAAGUAGAAGAAGUGAAAAUAACCUACGACAGAGUUCUCGGGUUGUCUUCACUCUUGAGAUUUUCCGGAGAACUUGGCUUGGUAGAUUAAAUAUGGAGAUAAUUAAGUAGUUUCCUCUUAACAUUUUCCUCUAACAUUGAGUGUUUUUCCUUCAUUUCAAAAAUAUGGUGAACAUUUCUUCAAUAUUCAUCAUUAUCAUCACCAAAAAGGCCAUUCACCAUCCCGUCUUAACCAUAUAUUGCCAUUGCAAUUGAAACCUAAUUUCAUUACUCAUAAUAAAUACCUAGUAUAAAUAGGAGCCCAUCACAACUAGUUGAGUGACUUUUUGGCACUUUGAUACUCUAAUUCUCAAAGCUCUCUAAAAUUCUUUCAACUUUUGUUGUUGUUGUUGUUUAGCCUUAUCAUCAACUACAAUUCCCUUUCUCUUGCUUAUCAAACAUCACUUGUUGCUGUGAUCAAUGUUAUAGGAUCAGCUCUAGUAUUCUUCUCUGCCUUCUUUCGAUAUAUCAUGUUCACUUAUUUAUAAAGCUCCCUCUGAACCCUCUACAAUGUUUUAAUUUUAUCUAUAUUACUCUCAUAGAAUACCACAAAUGGAUAUAUGAUGUUAUUAGUAUGUUAUAAUCUCUAAAAAAAUGAAAUUAGUUAUAAAUUUCUUUUCAUAUUAUUUAUUCAAUUUGAACUUUUAUGGUUUAAUUAUAUAUGAAGUUUCACUUAAUAUCAACUGUCUAUAAUGAUUAUAUAAUAAUGGAGGUUAAUGUUACUUUAAUACAUUUCAUAUUUAUAUAUUUAAAUUAAGAAAAUAACUAAAAGAACUCUCAUCAGGGUAACCAUCGUCCUAAAAAAAAGGUUAGCCAUCAGCAUAGUGGAUGUGCAAAUCCUUGAUGGAAAAGAAGAGAAUGAUAAACUCAAAAUGAUUAGUGUUAAAAACAGUAUUUGCUAAAAGCAAGGAAAUAAAUGAAUGGAUGAGCGUAUUCUAAGGGAUUAAGAUGGAAGAAUUGAAGAGGUUGUGUGGUAUAAAAGGAGAGGUAUGCAUGCAAUUCAAAAUCAACUCAAGCAAACCAUCUUCCUCUUCCUCUAGAAGGGGAUAAUUAAUAAAUUACUGUCGGGCGAAAAAAAAGGGUAAGAGAUGGCUCGAUUAAUGUUAAUAUCGAUGCUAUUUCUCUUGGCAGGAUCAAUGCUUAUGGUCCAGGGCGGAGAUCCCACCCUUUUUUUCGAAUGGAACGUCACCUAUGGCACCAUUGCUCCCUUGGGAGUGCCAGUAAAGGGUAUUCUUAUUAACGGGCAAUUCCCGGGACCAAAUCUUAACUCUACCACCAACAACAAUAUCGUGGUCAAUGUGUUCAAUAACCUUGAUGAGCCAUUCCUUGUAACAUGGUAAGCGACUACCAAGAGUAGUUUCUUUUUUACAUUAAUAUGAUUAUGCUAGUGAAGAGUCGAGCUAAUUAUCUGUGGAAAUGGGAUUUGUUGCAGGGACGGCGUGCAGCAUAGGAAGAACUCUUGGCAAGAUGGUGUUCUGGGAACCAACUGUCCUAUCCCCCCUGGGAAGAAUUACACCUAUAAAUUCCAGGUGAAGGAUCAGGUUGGCAGCUACAUGUACUAUCCGGUGACGGCAAUGCACAAGGCGGUUGGUGGUUUCGGUGGCCUCCGUGUUAACAGCCGUCUACUCAUCCCUGUUCCCUACGCUGAUCCGGCUGAUGACUAUACUCUCUUAGUGGGAGACUUUUUCAACAAGGGACACACCAGCCUCAAGAAGAUUCUUGAUAGCGGUCGCAACCUUGGGAGAUGUGACGGUGUCCACCUUAAUGGGAAAGUUGCGAAAGGUGAUGGGAAGGAUGAACCUCUGUUUACGAUGGAGGCAGGCAAAACGUACAAGUACAGGAUUUGCAAUACGGGUAUCAAGACAUCUCUGAACGUCAGGUUCCAGGGCCACACCAUGAAAUUGGUUGAGAUGGAGGGUUCCCACACAAUGCAGAAUGACUAUGACUCCCUUGAUGUGCAUGUUGGACAGUGCUUCAGUGUGCUUGUUACUGCCAACCAGGAACCAAGGGAUUACUAUGUGGUGGCCUCUACCCGUUUUACCAGACGUGAGGUUACAGCAACCGGCAUCAUCCGUUACAAGAAUGGCAAGGGAGCUGCCUCAUCCGAGUUGCCACCGCCACCUGUUGGUUGGGCUUGGUCACUCAAUCAAUUCCGUACCUUCCGUUGGAACUUGACUUCUAACGCUGCUAGGCCUAACCCUCAGGGCUCCUACAAAUAUGGUUCCAUUAACAUUACCCGCACCAUCAAGCUUGCCAACACUGCACAAAGAGUAGAUGGCAAGCUCCGAUAUGCUCUUAAUGGAGUCUCCUAUGUCGAACCAACCACUCCACUAAAACUUGCAGAAUACUACGGCGUAGCCGACAAGGUUUUCAAGUAUGAUACCAUUCCCGAUGAGCCACCAAGUGACAACACUAGGGUAACUUUGGCACCUAUUGUCCUCAACAUGACACACAGAAACUUUGUGGAAAUCAUCUUCGAGAAUCACGAGACCGCCAUUCAGUCUUACCACUUGUCUGGCUACUCAUUCUUUGCCGUGGG